UAAUAGGAAAUGUAGUCCAAACGGCCGCGGCUGGCGGUAGCUGCCGUCUCAGCGCGGCUCUGGAGCCGGGUGCCUAGUUGGUAUUCUACUGCCUCUGCUCACAGUAAGGACUCAACAAAUAAUCAUUAACCCACUUAGCAACUUGCAGAAUUCUAAGUGUGGAAUUUGCUAAAAGCACUUGGGAAAAUACAGUAGUAGCCAAGUAACCUGCUGCAGGCAAAACGAUGAUAGCUGAUACUUCAUAGCACUUCUAAGCGCCAUUCACUACUGAACACUUGGUAUGUAUCGUUUCAUCCUCACCGCUGCACUGGCUGCACUGUGAAGUGCGCUGGCAGGAUCCCCACAUACAGAUCAGGUAACGGAAGCAUUAAGAGAUGAGUAACUUGCCCAGAUUCACACAGCUGCUGACUGGGGGUGUCAGGGUUUGAUCUCAGCCUGCAGAGUCUGUGCUUUUACCUCUAAGUUGUACUGCACCGUGUAUGUAUAUAAAUCGAUCUUUUAUAUAAGGGUUUUGGUUUGGGGGAGCUGGAAACGGGAGGGAAGGUUUUUGUGUGUUUGCGAGAGUGCUUAGGGAUGAAACGAGAUGAGGUUGAAGGUGGGGGGAUGACGGGCACCUGUUUCUGUGUUUUGAGCCACUUUGUGGUAGGAAGAGUGAGAAGGAGAGGCUGCAGGAGCUGCUUUGUGCAAGAUGGUAAGGCUCUGGGCGUGCUUAGUGGAACAGCAGCAGGCUCACGGCAGAUGGGAGUGUCACAGGCCGCUGGACAGUGGCCAAGAGGUGGAAGCAAAAUGCAAUGAGAGGACUUGUGCCUAAGGACAUGUCAGGUACACUGCAUAGGUCAUCCCGAAAUAACUGGGGGAGACUUCAAAGAAUGCAUCCGAAUUCCCGAAGGAGCAAGCAAGGGCUCAGAGCUGUUGAGGCUGUGUGUUAAUGUUGGGAUUUCAUUUGCACUCAGUUGCUGGUGAGGUCUAGAACAUUGGAGUUUUACGUACGGUGGAAUUAUUAUCUAGCUAUUAUUCAGCCUAGUAUACAUCUGUAUUUAUUGGCAUGGAAAGAGCUGCACAGUCUAGUGGUAAGUGACAGAAGUAGAUCACAAGCCGAGCAGAGCAGGAGUCCCCAGUGCUGUUCAGGGAUCCCAGCUCUGUGUGCAAAGGGGAAAUCUACUCAGCUGGCCUGUUGUGUUCAAGUGGUCGGCUCGCUGAGUUCCAUUCACUGACAGGUGUCUGAAACCCACAGUAACAGAAAACAAGAGUCUCCGGAACAUGGAGGUUAAUUUCUUAACCUGGAAAGGAAUCUUUAAUUGUAUUAAUAAGAACACAAAGGAGGGCAGGUGUAUCCCAAGCAGUUGCCUGUUUUCAUUGGGAGCAGUGGCAUCAGUGACAUCUGUGUGGCAGGCACUGUUAGUUGCCAGCCCUGCAGCUGUUCUUCCUCCAGAUCACAGACAGAACAGAACGUAAGUGGGCAGCCGUGUGCUUCAGGGGAGGCAAGUCCCUCCCCGGCCCUAAGGGGCGAAUCUUGAUUAGUCUGCACCAGACUCAUAGGGUAAAUCUAUUCCCUUUGCCUGUAAUUGUUUCAGGAAAAGGUCUGCAGGCAGGUCUGCCAAGUUUAGGGAAGUUUUCCUGUUCUUCAAAACAAUCCUCUCUUCUGGCUUUGGGACCUCGUGAAGAUGUGAUGCUUGAGACUCAGCAGCCAUCUUGCAUCCAUGAGUUGCUUCAAAGCAAGCACUGAAGGUCUGUGACGGCAGAGUGGAAAGAAAGAACAUGAGUCCUUGAUGAUGCUUUUGAACUGCUGAAAUAAUCAGUGCUGAAGCCCCCUGCCUCAGACCUUUUGUUUCGAUUCAGACACAUAUUUUCACAUUUUAGCAGCUAAUGCAUAUUAAGUGUAUGCUCCUGGCCAGGCAAUUUCUAAGUACCUUUUGGUUUUUUUUUUUGAAACCACUUUAUUGAGAUCUGCUUGACAUACAAAAAGCUGCGCAUAUUUCAUGUAUACACUUGAUGGCUUUAAACCUUUCUGUACUAUCUCAUUUGACUCUCACAACAGCCCUGUUGUUCUCCCCCGAGGGAGCCAAAGUGCAGAAAGGGGGAAGUAUUAGGUGCAAACAUAUUGGUGCAAAAGUAACUGUUGUUUUUGCCAUUAUUUUUAACCUUUUAAACCUCAUUUACUUUUGCACCAACCUGAUAAUUACUAAGUGGAAGCAUUGAGAUCUCAACUCAGGCAAGCCAGCCUCAAAACCCAUGGUGUUAACCACUGUGCUGGGUUCCCUGACAAAAAUAUGCUGUGAGGGUAGAACAUGUUUUGCUAAUGGAGUUUUUACAAAUAAGUGAAUUUGAAGACUAUGUAAUAUUCUGUCGACCUCUUCUGCUAUUUUCUAGACCCGUCUCGGUUCCCAGAAAACCCUGCCUUCUCACAACUGUUGAUAGCCUUGGCUCAUGCUGUCUGUUCCCUUUGCCUUGAAAUUUCCUUCCGCUUGUCCUCUUGUUGCUCAGCAGACCCCCACUCACACUUCGGUACCUCCUCUGAAGUCUUACCUGGGACGCAGAGGUGGUCUCUGAGUUCAUCCUCAAGGAACAGGCACAACCAGGCAUGUUCUGCAGGCAGGCCCAGCUCUGCUGGUUUUAGCCAAGUAAAGUUGGGCAAAUGACUACCCCUCUAUCUAAGCCUCCCUUUCUUGUCUGUAACAUAAGGACGGUGGUAUCCGAAACUCUCAGGACUGUCAGGCUUAUGCCUGCAAAACGCCUAGCAUGGGCCACCAGAAGGCGAGCACGUGAUAAACAGAGUGCUCGUUAUUUGACCGUACUUCUUUGAAUACUCACUGUUUUAUGAUGACCUGUUUUCAUGUCUGGCUUUUCCGCUAGCCCAUGAGCAAGACAAGGAUCAGGUCUUCAUUAGUGUUUGUUUGUUUUUAACUCUUUAUGUCACCUUUAUUGAGGUAUAAUAUAUACUAAAGCACAUCCAUUGAAAAUGUACUGUUCAAUAGUCUAAUACCUGGAUCCACCCCUGUGACCACAACCUGUCAUGAUUUAGAAUUUGUCAUCACUCCCAAGAGCACCUUCAUACCGUUUUACAGUCAGUCUCUGUAACCAACCCUGGCCCCAGGCAAACACCCAUCUGCUUUCUAUCACUAUAGAUUACUUUGGCCUGUUCUAGAAUUUCAUAUAAAUGGAUUCAUACAGUAGGUACUCUUCUGUGUCUGGCUUCUCUCAAUUACCCGUGUUGUGGCUUACAUCAGUAGUUCAUUUCCUUUUUAUUGCUGACUAUUAUUCCAUUGUAUGAAUAUGUCACAAUUUGUUUAGCCAUUCACAUGUUGAUGGAUACUUGGGUUGUUUCCAGUUUGGAGCUAUUACUAAUAAAGCUGCUGUGAACAUUUUGGUACAAAUCUUUUUGUGGACAUAUGUUUCCAUUCCUCAUGGAUAAAUUCAUAAGAAACUGCCAAACUGGUUUGCCAAGCAGACGUCACUCUGUAAGCAACCCCAGCAACCUAUUACACGUUACAGUUGCUCCACACACUUGCCAACACCUAUGGUGGUCAGUUUAAUAUGACCCCUUCCGGGGGGUGUAUAGUAGUAUCGCGUGGUUUUGAUUUGCAUUUCCCUGAUGACUUACCAUGUUCAGCAUCUUUCUAUGUUUUUAUUGAGCACAUGUAUACAUUUUUGGUGAAGUGUGUCUAUUAAAACCCUCCCCUUUUUUAUGGGUUGUCUUCUUGAUAUCAAGUUGUUAAAAUUCUUUAUAUAUUUUGGAUACUGAUCCUUUCUCAGGUCUUUGCUUGGCAGAUAUUUCCUCCCAGUCCCUUUCCAAGAAUUUUGAUCAAGUCCAAUUAAGCCAUUUUUCUUUUAUGGUGAGUGCUUUUUGUAUUCUAUUGAGAGGCCUCCCCUUUUUCCAUGGAAUCACCUUCAUUGCACCCGUUUCUGGAUCCCAUUGAUCUCUGUGUAAAUCCUAGGCGCACCACGCUGUCUGAGCUCUGAUCUCGUUUCCUCACCUGGGCGACAUCACUGUGGUCUGCUCGGGUCCCUCUCCCCACGCCCCAGGCAGGAACUGUCUGAGGCAGACGCUGAGGCAGUCAGGGGUCACUGUCCUGUGUGCUGCCUAUUGUCAAGGGUCUGUUUCUUGUAUUUUGCGCCGUUUUCUGGUCAUUUGUGGCAGGAAGUCUUCAUUCAUUUUGUCUCCACAGUGGCUGCUGGCACACGGUCACCACCAAAUGUUUGUUGAGUGGCGAGUCUUUGCUAGCACCUCCAGACACAGUCCAUUUUAGCCUCUUUGGAGUGGGGAGAAUCUGGGAGGCCCCCAGAGGCCUGUCCCCUUCAUUCUACUAGACAGUUCUUUUCCUGAAGAUGGUCAUUAUGUCCUCGGCACCGGCCCACCUGGCUUCAACACAUGCUUAUUACAUGGGCAAAUUAAGGUCCAGAGAAGGAAAGGUCACAUGGCAGCCGCUCACCUGGCAGAACUGUGCUUCCUCGGCAGGGAUCUUUCCAUUGUACUAACUGGCACUCUUUCAUUGCUGUAUCACUCCUAACACACUCCUUACAAUGCACA